rnacentral:rRNA from 1 species
UACGUAGGGUGCAAGCGUUGUCCGGAAUUAUUGGGCGUAAAGAGCUCGUAGGCGGUCUGUUGCGUCGGCUGUGAAAACCCGGGGCUCAGCCCCGGGCCUGCAGCCGAUACGGGCAGACUAGAGUUCGGCAGGGGAGACUGGAAUUCCUGGUGUAGCGGUGGAAUGCGCAGAUAUCAGGAGGAACACCGAUGGCGAAGGCAGCUCUCUGGGCCGUACCUGACGCUGAGGAGCGAAAGCAUGGGGAGCGAACAGG